rnacentral:rRNA from 1 species
UACAGAGGCCUCGAGCGUUAGGCGGAAUCACUGGGCUUAAAGCGUGUGUAGGCGGACUUCUAAGUACCUUGUGAAAUCCCACGGCUCACCCGUGGAACUGCUCGGUAUACUGGUCGUCUUGAGCCUUCUAGGGGCGAGUGGAACAAAUGGUGGAGCGGUGAAAUGCGUAGAUAUCAUUUGGAACGCCAAUGGUGAAAACAGGUAGCUGGGAGUGUGCUGACACUGAGACACGAAAGCCAGGGGAGCAAACGGG